CUGUGGAGGCAGAGUAGGAUAGAGAAGGGGUCGCUGUGGAGGCAGAGUAGGUUUUUCAAAAGGGGUGGAUAGGAGAGGAGGGGGUAGAGGGGGGUCCCCAGCCCCAGAAUGCAUGGAGGUCAGGUCCAGAUGGUGUGGGAACAAAAGGGCUUUUCUGGGGGAAUGGCAGGGGGGAAUCGUGGCACUCGCCAUUGUGUGUGUCGCUGCAUUGCAGGGUGCUGCCGGAAAGCCUCAUGCUAAUGUUGGUCAUUCAGUCCUCUAAUGGAUGUGCACAAGCUUCUGUUAGCCUGCUUUUCACAGUCACUCAUGUAGCCAGACUAGCGCCUGUGCUAACAAAUCUAGGCAUUCGGUACGAGAGGAAAAAGCGAUAGCGGAAUGGUAACGUCAAAGCGAUAGCGUCAAGGAAGUUGUGCAAAUGUGUUUGUGCAUUGUAAUGACAUGAUGACAGGUGCUGAGUAGUGUGUGUUGUUGUGUGUGCGUAUGUGUGUGUGAGUGUAGUGGGGUUGUGUGUGUGUAGGCGGGUUGUGUGUAUGUAUGAACACAACAUAUUUGUUGUGUGUGUGUGUGUGUGUAAUGCAUCCUAUGUGUUUUGAAGCCGUAUUAAACCCCUAUGAUAUAAACACACACACACUUUGUGUGAUUGACAACCCAGGAGUAGGAGUGGGUGGUGGAGGGAACUGGGGGUGGCAGCCUUUGACUUUAUUAUUCCUUAUACCAAUGUGCAGAUCAUCCAAAACAAUCUCAAAUAUGUAUCUCCUUACUCUGGUACCUUCUGCUGAAAUAGUGAUCAUUUUUACUUUCUACAAGGUUGUUUUACACCUAGGAGCAAUUGGAUGGUUUUAAGAUCAUACUAAUAUUUAGCAGAUGUUAUUGCAGGUGUAGCGAAAUGCUUGAUAUUCCAUUGGUUUUGUUUUGUCACUAGAGAGUCUACACCUAGGACCAUAACGGUCUGUGAAAAGUCAUCCACUAUUCAUUCUGAUACCAGGUCUGUGCAAAGUCAUCCACCAUUCAUUCUGAUACCAGGUCUGUGUAAAGUCAUCCACCAUUCAUUCUGAUACCAGGUCUGUGUAAAGUCAUCCACCAUUCAUUCUGAUACCAGGCCCUGUAAAGUCAUCCACCAUUCAUUCUGAUACGAGAUAUUUCCAAGAUAGAAA